GGGGGACAGGGUGACAGGUGGUGCAUGGUUGUCGUCAGCUCGUGUCGUGAGAUGUUGGGUUAAGUCCCGCAACGAGCGCAACCCUCGACCUUAGUUGCCAGCAUUCAGUUGGGCACUCUAAGGUGACUGCCGGCUAAAAGGUCGGAGGAAGGUGGGAUGACGUCAAAUCAUCAUGGCCUUUAUAUCCUGGGCUACACACACGCUACAAUGGCCAACACAAUAGGUUGCUAAGCCGCGAGGUGGCGCCAAUCCAUAAAGUUGGUCUCAGUUCAGAUUGUAGGCUGCAACCCGCCUGCAUGAAGAUGGAGUUGCUAGUAACCGCAGGUCAGCUAUACUGCGGUGAAUACGGUUCCCGGGCUU
rnacentral:rRNA from 1 species